GAUGAAGAACGUAGCGAAAUGCGAUAAGUAAUGUGAAUUGCAGAAUUCAGUGAGUCAUCGAAUCUUUGAACGCACAUUGCGCCCUCUGGUAUUCCGGGGGGCAUGCCUGUUCGAGCGUCAUUAUAACCACUCAAGCUCUCGCUUGGUAUUGGGGUUCGCGGUUUCGCGGCCCCUAAAAUCAGUGGCGGUGCCUGUCGGCUCUACGCGUAGUAAUACUCCUCGCGAUUGAGUCCGGUAGGUCUACUUGCCAGCAACCCCUAAUUUUUUUAAGGUUGACCUCGGAUCAGGUAGGGAUACCCGCUGAACUUAAGCAUAUCAAUAAGCGGAGGA
rnacentral:misc_RNA from 1 species